CUACGGGACGCACCAGUGGGGAAUAUUGCACAAUGGGCGCAAGCCUGAUGCAGCAACGCCGCGUGAGGGAUGAAGGCCUUCGGGUUGUAAACCUCUUUUAGCAGGGAAGAAGCGAAAGUGACGGUACCUGCAGAAAAAGCACCGGCUAACUACGUGCCAGCAGCCGCGGUAAUACGUAGGGUGCAAGCGUUGUCCGGAACUAUUGGGCGUAAAGAGCUCGUAGGCGGUUUGUCACGUCUGCUGUGAAAAUCCAAGGCUCAACCUUGGACUUGCAGUGGGUACGGGCAGGCUAGAGUGCGGUAGGGGAGAUGGGAAUUCCUGGUGUAGCGGUGGAAUGCGCAGAUAUCAGGAGGAACACCAAUGGCGAAGGCACAUCUCUGGGCCGUAACUGACGCUGAGGAGCGAAAGCGUGGGGAGCGAACAGGAUUAGAUACCCUCGUAGUC
rnacentral:rRNA from 1 species